AACGAACGCUGGCGGCGCGUCUUAAACAUGCAAGUCGAACGGCAGGAAGGGGCUUGCCCCUUCUGAGAGUGGCGGACUGGUGAGUAACACGUGGGUGACAUACCUUUUAGUUGGGGAUAGCUAUUAGAAAUAGUAGGUAAUACCGAAUGUGACCGUACCUGUUAGAGGGGUACGAGGAAAGGAGCUAAGGCUUCGCUAAAAGAAUGGCUCGCGGCCCAUUAUGCUCGUUGGUGAGGUAACGGCCCACCAAGGCGAUGAUGGGUAUCCGGCCUGAGAGGGUGAACGGACACAUUGGGACUGAGAUACGGCCCAGACUUCUACGGGAGGCAGCAGUUAAGAAUAUUCCGCAAUGGACGAAAGUCUGACGGAGCGACGCCGCGUGGAUGAAGAAUGCCGAAAGGUUGUAAAAUCCUUUUAAGCCUGAUGAAUAAGCACAGUAGGGAAUGAUUGUGCGGUGACCGUAGGGCUUGAAUAAGCGCCGGCUAAUUACGUG
rnacentral:rRNA from 1 species